GGGUUGUGAGGUUAAGCGACUAAGCGUACACGGUGGAUGCCCUGGCAGUCAGAGGCGAUGAAGGACGUGCUAAUCUGCGAUAAGCGUCGGUAAGGUGAUAUGAACCGUUAUAACCGGCGAUUUCCGAAUGGGGAAACCCAGUGUGAUUCGUCACACUAUCAUUAACUGAAUCCAUAGGUUAAUGAGGCGAACCGGGGGAACUGAAACAUCUAAGUACCCCGAGGAAAAGAAAUCAACCGAGAUUCCCCCAGUAGCGGCGAGCGAACGGGGAGGAGCCCAGAGCCUGAAUCAGUGUGUGUGUUAGUGGAAGCGUCUGGAAAGGCGCGCGAUACAGGGUGACAGCCCCGUACACAAAAAUGCACAUGCUGUGAGCUCGAUGAGUAGGGCGGGACACGUGGUAUCCUGUCUGAAUAUGGGGGGACCAUCCUCCAAGGCUAAAUACUCCUGACUGACCGAUAGUGAACCAGUACCGUGAGGGAAAGGCGAAAAGAACCCCGGCGAGGGGAGUGAAAAAGAACCUGAAACCGUGUACGUACAAGCAGUGGGAGCACAGAGCAAUCUGUGUGACUGCGUACCUUUUGUAUAAUGGGUCAGCGACUUAUAUUCUGUAGCAAGGUUAACCGAAUAGGGGAGCCGAAGGGAAACCGAGUCUUAACCGGGCGUUAAGUUGCAGGGUAUAGACCCGAAACCCGGUGAUCUAGCCAUGGGCAGGUUGAAGGUUGGGUAACACUAACUGGAGGACCGAACCGACUAAUGUUGAAAAAUUAGCGGAUGACUUGUGGCUGGGGGUGAAAGGCCAAUCAAACCGGGAGAUAGCUGGUUCUCCCCGAAAGCUAUUUAGGUAGCGCCUCGUGAAUUCAUCUCCGGGGGUAGAGCACUGUUUCGGCAAGGGGGUCAUCCCGACUUACCAACCCGAUGCAAACUGCGAAUACCGGAGAAUGUUAUCACGGGAGACACACGGCGGGUGCUAACGUCCGUCGUGAAGAGGGAAACAACCCAGACCGCCAGCUAAGGUCCCAAAGUCAUGGUUAAGUGGGAAACGAUGUGGGAAGGCCCAGACAGCCAGGAUGUUGGCUUAGAAGCAGCCAUCAUUUAAAGAAAGCGUAAUAGCUCACUGGUCGAGUCGGCCUGCGCGGAAGAUGUAACGGGGCUAAACCAUGCACCGAAGCUGCGGCAGCGACACUGUGUGUUGUUGGGUAGGGGAGCGUUCUGUAAGCCUGUGAAGGUGUACUGUGAGGUAUGCUGGAGGUAUCAGAAGUGCGAAUGCUGACAUAAGUAACGAUAAAGCGGGUGAAAAGCCCGCUCGCCGGAAGACCAAGGGUUCCUGUCCAACGUUAAUCGGGGCAGGGUGAGUCGACCCCUAAGGCGAGGCCGAAAGGCGUAGUCGAUGGGAAACAGGUUAAUAUUCCUGUACUUGGUGUUACUGCGAAGGGGGGACGGAGAAGGCUAUGUUGGCCGGGCGACGGUUGUCCCGGUUUAAGCGUGUAGGCUGGUUUUCCAGGCAAAUCCGGAAAAUCAAGGCUGAGGCGUGAUGACGAGGCACUACGGUGCUGAAGCAACAAAUGCCCUGCUUCCAGGAAAAGCCUCUAAGCAUCAGGUAACAUCAAAUCGUACCCCAAACCGACACAGGUGGUCAGGUAGAGAAUACCAAGGCGCUUGAGAGAACUCGGGUGAAGGAACUAGGCAAAAUGGUGCCGUAACUUCGGGAGAAGGCACGCUGAUAUGUAGGUGAAGUCCCUCGCGGAUGGAGCUGAAAUCAGUCGAAGAUACCAGCUGGCUGCAACUGUUUAUUAAAAACACAGCACUGUGCAAACACGAAAGUGGACGUAUACGGUGUGACGCCUGCCCGGUGCCGGAAGGUUAAUUGAUGGGGUCAGCGCAAGCGAAGCUCUUGAUCGAAGCCCCGGUAAACGGCGGCCGUAACUAUAACGGUCCUAAGGUAGCGAAAUUCCUUGUCGGGUAAGUUCCGACCUGCACGAAUGGCGUAAUGAUGGCCAGGCUGUCUCCACCCGAGACUCAGUGAAAUUGAACUCGCUGUGAAGAUGCAGUGUACCCGCGGCAAGACGGAAAGACCCCGUGAACCUUUACUAUAGCUUGACACUGAACAUUGAGCCUUGAUGUGUAGGAUAGGUGGGAGGCUUUGAAGUGUGGACGCCAGUCUGCAUGGAGCCGAC
rnacentral:rRNA from 1 species